UACGUAGGGUGCAAGCGUUAAUCGGAAUUACUGGGCGUAAAGCGUGCGCAGGCGGCUAUGCAAGACAGAUGUGAAAUCCCCGGGCUCAACCUGGGAACUGCAUUUGUGACUGCAUGGCUAGAGUACGGUAGAGGGGGAUGGAAUUCCGCGUGUAGCAGUGAAAUGCGUAGAUAUGCGGAGGAACACCGAUGGCGAAGGCAGCCCCCUGGGCCAAUACUGACGCUCAUGCACGAAAGCGUGGGGAGCAAACAGG
rnacentral:rRNA from 1 species